rnacentral:rRNA from 1 species
AUUGAACGCUGGCGGCAUGCCUAACACAUGCAAGUCGAGCGGAUGAAGGGAGCUUGCUCCUGGAUUCAGCGGCGGACGGGUGAGUAAUGCCUAGGAAUCUGCCUGGUAGUGGGGGAUAACGUCCUGAAACGGGCGCUAAUACCGCAUACGUCCUGAGGGAGAAAGUGGGGGAUCUUCGGACCUCACGCUAUCAGAGGAGCCUAGGUCGGAUUAGCUAGUUGGUGGGGUAAAGGCCUACCAAGGCGACGAUCCGUAACUGGUCUGAGAGGAUGAUCAGUCACACUGGAACUGAGACACGGUCAAGACUCCUACGGGAGGCAGCAGUGGGGAAUAUUGGACAAUGGGCGAAAGCCUGAUCCAGCCAUGCCGCGUGUGUGAAGAAGGUCUUCGGAUUGUAAAGCACUUUAAGUUGGGAGGAAGGGCAGUAAGUUAAUACCUUGCUGUUUUGACGUUACCAACAGAAUAAGCACCGGCUAACUUCGUG